rnacentral:rRNA from 1 species
UGGGGAAUUUGGACAAUGGGCGAANCCUGAUCCAGCAAUGCCGCGUGUGUGAAGAAGGCCUUCGGGUUGUAAAGCACUUUUGUCCGGAAAGAAAUCCUUGGCUCUAAUACAGUCGGGGGAUGACGGUACCGGAAGAAUAAGCACCGGCUAACUACGUGCCAGCAGCCGCGGUAAUACGUAGGGUGCAAGGCGUUAAUCGGAAUUACUGGGCGUAAAGCGUGCGCAGGCGGUUUUGCUAAGACCGAAUGUGAAAUCCCCGGGCUCAACCUGGGAACUGCAUUGGUGACUGGCAGGCUAGAAGUAUGGCAGUAGGGGGGUAGAAUUCCACGUGUAGCAGUGAAAAUGCGUAAAGGAUGUGGAGGAAUACCGAUGGCGAAGGCAGCCCCCUGGGCCAAAUACUGACGCUCAUGCACG